rnacentral:rRNA from 1 species
AUGGCUUAUAAACUGCAGCUUCCAUCUGACAGCCGCAUUCAUCCGGUCUUCCAUGUAUUGCAAUUGAAGCCAUUCACACCAGACUACUCUCUAGUCUUUUCGGAAUUGCCUCGUCCGUCUGACCUGACGGCUGCACCACUACAACCGGAGCUGAUCUUGGAUCGCCGCAUGGUCAAGAAAGAUAACACCUUCGUCGUGCAGAUUCGUGUGCAGUGGUCCUCGCUCUCCCCAGACUCGGCGACAUGGGAAGAUUACACCGUACUCCAUCAUCGCUAUCUCACAGCUCCAUGCUGGGAACAGGACGCUCCCGCUCAAGGGAGGAAAAUUGUCACACCUGCUACUGUGUAG